ACUCAAACCACUACACUUCCGCUGCGCACUCUGAUCUAACUCAUCAAAUUCUCUAAAGUCACAAAAUAAUUUCUGACCAAAGUAUCACUUUGCAUCGAGACUAAAAAAAAAUCCAAAUUUUAAAUUUUCAAGUAGAACUAGAGCAAAACCUCUAGAUCUUUUUGUCCUCGAUUUAUAUAGAGUAUACUUACCAUAAUUAACCUUCAAGGCAUUAAUCAAGUUUAUGGUCACUACAUGAUCUUCACAACCAUUUUAGAAUUCAAAAUAUCUAAGUUUAAUUUAAAAUAAGUUAACCGCGGAUUCCCUCAGCAAUUCGAUUAAACAAUCUACGUUGAUCUUCCUUCCAAAAGAUUUACUUCAAAUUCAAUGGUUUAGAAGUCAUUGAGCCAAUACACUAGAAUUUAACUCGAUCGAUCUCCAGAUCUUCCUUCACCAAGAUUCUUAACAUCCAUCAACAAUGCUAUAUAUGAUAAUUCAUGUAAGCAUCUCAUGACCGAAGUCUCUACUCAAUAUGACAUUUAUUAGUGGCUUCAUCAACAAUGACAAAAGAUCCCUGCUCAAAUCUUAAACCUAGGCUUGAGUUUUAAAUUAACACAUCAAAUAGUCUUCUACAAUUAUAAGUAGAAUCCAGUAGCCCAAUCCAAACAUGAGAAUUCAAAUAAUUAGAAUUCUCCCAUCAAUAUGCAUA
rnacentral:lncRNA from 1 species